rnacentral:rRNA from 1 species
AGAGCGAACGCUGGCGGCAGGCCUAACACAUGCAAGUCGAGCGCCCCGCAAGGGGAGCGGCAGACGGGAGAGUAACACGUGGGAACGUGCCCUUUGGUUCGGAACAACACAGGGAAACUUGUGCUAACACCGGAUAAGUCCGUAAGGAGAAAGAUUUAUCGCCAAAGGAUCGGCCCGCGUCUGAUUAGCUAGUUGGUGAGGUAACGGCUCACCAAGGCGACGAUCAGUAGCUGGUCUGAGAGGAUGAUCAGCCUCACUGGGACUGAGACACGGCCCAGACUCCUACGGGAGGCAGCAGUGGGGAAUAUUGGACAAUGGGCGCAAGCCUGAUCCAGCCAUGCCGCGUGGAUGAUGAAGGCCCUAGGGUUGUAAAGUCCUUUCGACGGGGAAGAUAAUGACGGUACCCGUAGAAGAAGCCCCGGCUAACUUCGUGCCAGCAGCCGC